AUUGAACGCUGGCGGCAGGCCUAACACAUGCAAGUCGAGCGCGCGGCGGAAGGGUGAGUGAUAUAUGGGGAAUGCCCGAUAGAGGGGGGGAAAAACUGGAAACGGUGGCGAAUAUCGCACACGCUCGCAUUAACCACAUGGGAUAAGCUAUGAGUUAAGGUAAUGGCUUACCUAGGCGACGAUCCCUAGCUGGUCUGAGAGGAUGAUCAGCCACACUGGAACUGAGACACGGCCCAGACUCCUACGGAGGCAGCAGUGGGGAAUAUUGCACAAUGGGCGCAAGCCUGAUGCAGCCAUGCCGCGUGUAUGAAGAAGGCCCUAGGGUUGUAAAGUACUUUCAGUCGGGAGGCGUUACCGACAGAAGAAGCACCGGCUAACUCCGUGCCAGCAGCCGCGGUAAUUC
rnacentral:rRNA from 1 species